rnacentral:rRNA from 1 species
GCGUCGACGGGUAGCCGGCCUGAGAGGGCGACCGGCCACACUGGGACUGAGACACGGCCCAGACUCCUACGGGAGGCAGCAGUGGGGAAUAUUGCACAAUGGGCGAAAGCCUGAUGCAGCGACGCCACGUGAGGGAUGACGGCCUUCGGGUUGUAAACCUCUUUCAGCAGGGAAGAAGCGCAAGUGACGGUACCUGCAGAAGAAGCGCCGGCUAACUACGUGCCAGCAGCCGCGGUAAUACGUAGGGCGCAAGCGUUGUCCGGAAUUAUUGGGCGUAAAGAGCUCGUAGGCGGUCUGUCGCGUCUGGUGUGAAAUCUCAUGGCUCAACUGUGAGCUUGCAUCGGGUACGGGCAGACUAGAGUGCUGUAGGGGAGACUGGAAUUCCUGGUGUAGCGGUGGAAUGCGCAGAUAUCAGGAGGAACACCGAUGGCGAAGGCAGGUCUCUGGGCAGUUACUGACGCUGAGGAGCGAAAGCAUGGGGAGCGAACAGGAUUAGAUACCCUGGUAGUCCAUGCCGUAAACGUUGGGCACUAGGUGUGGGGCCAGUUCCACUGGUUCUGUGCCGUAGCUAACGCAUUAAGUGCCCCGCCG